rnacentral:lncRNA from 1 species
AAAAAAUAUUUAUUAAGAAAAAGAAUGUAUUGAAUUAUUGUACGUUGUCAUAAUAUGUGAAGUCUUGCUUGAGAAUACUCCAGGCACCUCGCUGUGGAAGAUAGAAUAGAAAUUGCAACAACAAAAUCCUAAUUCUAAUAGAAUAUUAACAAUGAUAAAUAAACUUUAAUCAAAUUCAGAGAAAACUCAAAGGAAUUCCAGAGAAAUAAUAAGAAAUCUUAAAGAAAUAUUAGAAUGAUUACAAACAUAUCUCAAAUACAUCUCAAUUCAAUCUUAAUUUAAUCUUAAUUGAAAUCUUAUUGGACUUCAUUCAAACUUUAGGCCAAAAACUAACUAAAUCUUAAAUCCUAAACAAACUCAAAUAAAAUUCUAAACCCUAAAUCAAAUCUUGAUCAAACCCUAACUAAACCUUAAAUCCUAAACCAAAUCCUAAACCCUAACCAAAUCCUAAAUCCUAAACCAAACUCUAAAUCCUAAAUUAAAUCCUAAUCCUAAAUCAAAACCUAAUCAAACUCUAACUUUAAAUUAAACCUUAACCAAAUUCUAAUCCUAAAUCAAAUCCUAACCAAAUCCUAAUCCUAAAUCAAAUCCUAACCAAAUCUUAAUCCUAAAUCAAAUCCUAACCAAA